ACUGGAUGUCUGGGUGUUGGCGGAAGUGUGAUGGAUAAUUCGAGACAUCGGAAUACAGAGUAGGAGGAAGGCGUUAUAAACCGGCCCCGAGGACACAGCUUCUGCUUCUGCUCCAUGGCUGGGCGACACACCGGAGUGGCUCUGGGUCUCUGUCUCUGCAGCGGAAGGAAGAUUGCAAGAUGUCAGCCGAGGGCCAAGCAGGUGGAAAAUAAGUCGUGUUAUCUGUCUGGCGGUUGAUCUCGCCAGCCCUGGGCUCCACUGCCAGAGCUGGUGGAGGAGACAAACCGGUAACCAGGCAGCGCCUCAAAGACAGGGAAUCAUGUGAUGGUGGAAGAGAGGAGCACAUCAGGGAAGGGCUCCGAAGCCACACCCGUGUUAGGACCUGCACUUGUCCCAGCCGGGAGGAGCAGCAGGUGCAAAGGUCCUGAGGCACGGUCUCCGGGAUGAAUCGAAGUGUUCUGGGGCAAAGGGGACGUGGUCCUGAUGCAGUCAGGUCAGUGCUCGGUGGCGGGACCGUUUCAGGUCCGCGAGGUCCCGAACGUGGGCCGAUCCUCAGCGGUGCUGGUGAGCCGGGGGAGGCGGGGCAGACGCUGAAGAUUACGGCAAAGAGAAGCUCGGAGACUUGGGGUGGGUUUUACUCAUCUGUGUCACGGUAGCCUCAACCCUGAGAGCUGCCCCUGUUCCUGUCCCCAGUGGUGACAAGAGUGACAUCGCCUCCCUGAAACCUGUGCUGCCCCGUUUCAUUAAGAGGAGAGAGAGAGAGAGAUGGCCUUUCAGGUUAGGACGUUACAGGGAUGAGAAAGGAGACAGUAAGAGAAAAACAGCCCCGCAGCGCACCAUUCAUCCCACUCUCUCUCUCCCUCAUCUCGCCCAACUGGUACCCGAACGUUGGGGAUAAGAAGUGUGGGCGCCGGCGGGUGGCACCUGUGGCAGGGCUUCUCCCUCCGCGACACAGGAAUCAGUACGGCCACGUGCUGGUCUCCCCGUAACCCCCGUUCUUUACUCUGGGGAGUCGGGGCUCCACGCUGCUCGCGUUCCCAGGGCCGCAGCCAGACGCCUGGUGCAGUUGCUGCAGACUCAGAGGCAUCACUCAGAAACCCGUGACCGAGGUCCUUCUGCUGUUACAUCCGAGGCUGAGGCCGCCCUUGCCCGGCGCGUCUCCCCUGGUCCCUUCGUCCUCCUGUGGAAGGCGCUGUUGACCAUCACCCGGAAUCCCGGCUCCCGGCCGCAGAGGAGCCGGGUCAGGCUUCGUUAGGACUCACACGCGUUCCUGCUUCAUCCGGUUCGUGGGAAGUUCCCCGAGCAUCUCAGGGCUGCAUGUGGGGCCAGACAGAUGGGGAACGGCCCAUCGGCCACCACGGCCCAUCCGCCUGUGACCCGUCCUAAGGAGCUUCAGUGUAGGGGCUGGGGACGUGGGAAGGGGUCAUGACGUGGCUCUAGGGCUCCCGAAACCAAGUGCCGUAGGUGUGGGCGGGGCGGGGGCGUGGCGCUCAAACACAGAAAUUUACCGUCUCCGCGGGCUGAGUCCAGAAUCAAGGCAGGUGUCAGGAGGAGGGGACACGGACCAGGAAGCGGGAGUAGGACACUGACAGGUGGAGAGAGGCCUCGACGGGGAGCAUCGUGAUACUAUGACCUCUUUAGAGAAAAAUAACAGGAAAGGCUCUGACCUCAGGGGCCGUGUGGCUCCAGACCACAGAUUGUCCGUGUCACGAAUACUGAUGCGAUCACAGCUAAAUCCCAAGCAGUGCUGACCCUGUGCCAGGCGCCUGGCAUGAGCUGAGCAUGAACUUUCUCUUAACUCUGCAGCCUAACGAGGCCAGGGAGGGCAUGGCCUUUCUUGCACCGACAGGCAGCUGGGCUUCGGACAGUCCAAUGACAUGCCCAAGGUCCCACAGCUGGCAGCCCUUGCCCCAGGCCUGUGCCCCACAGCCCAGGCCCUGCCCUGCCACUGGCAGACGGGGUCUGAUCCCUUGCAAGGCUGCCCAAAGUGGCUGAGCUCUUAAAAUAAAACAGAUUCUCAGAGCCCACCCCCAGAAAUGGGAUUUGGCGCGUCUGGGGAGAGGCCACUGCUGUGCGUUCAGAGCCUUCGUGGUGGUUCCGAUGGGAAACAAGGACAGAAGUUCUAGCUUUGUGGGGUGGAUUCUGUGCUGACCAACUCCCCCCCCAGCGGGGGAGGGGGGUCCUUGAGGUUCCAUCUUGGUGGGAAGGAGGCGCGGCAAAACCUAAAAGACGGGGCUUCUGUGCUUGGUUCUACCGCCAACCAGCUGUCUGCUUUUGGACGAGUCCUGUGGUCUCUCUGGGGUUUAGUUCUUGGUGUGUCACAGUGGGUGUGGACCAGAGGACCCCUGAGAUGGCCUUGGGCUUCAUCAGGCGACUGAUCCGCUGAGCUGCAGCAUCAGGAGAUGACAGAUUCCGUAACGGAAGCUGAGACGUCUGUGUGCGUUUUCUCAGGCUCCGGAAACCCAGUACCAUAGCCGGGCCUGAAACCACAGAAACUCAGCGUCACUGCUGCGGAGGCUGGAGUUUAAAACCAAGGUGUUGCUUCUGCGCCGGGAGGGAGACUCUGCGCCCGGGCUGCCCCCUGCCUCAGAUGGCCCACGUCUCAUCUCCAGGAAAGAGCACCAGCACUCCUGCUCCCUGCCAUGGGGGAGCACGUCCACUCCAGGGCCUGCCGGGUGGGCACCAGCACGCAGCUGUCUCUCUGCCCCCUGACCCGGGGGUGCCUGGGAGCCUGGCCACCUGGCUCCAGGUGAGGCAGCAGCCUGCCCCUGUGGCUGGGGAGCAGGGAAUCCGCAGACUCCAUCAUGUCUUCUGGAGGGAUCGCUGGCUCUUGGCUCUUCUCGCCUUGGUCCCUUCCGUGGGGACCCCGCAUGCUGUGGGGUCAGGAGGUGUGGGGAGGGGGGACGUGGUCUGGGGCUCAGACAGAACAGGCCUAAGGGGUUUAGGAGCAUCCCGGUGGCCUCGCCUCCCAGCACCCACAUUUACACAUGGCUUCUCUGCAGUCCUGAGGCUCCAGCCAUAUCCUCUGACCUCUUCUCAGCAAGGCAGGUGCCAGGGAACGUCCAGGCUCCUGGGAGAGCCUGUGCUUCUCCCUCAAGAGUAGGAGGGAUUGUUCCAGAAGCUCAGGCGCCCGAGCACAGCCCCAAGUGCUGGCAGUCAUGACGGGUGUCCACCAGCCUCCUUAGGAAGACGUCCACCAGCUGCGGACACUUAAAUGUGCAAAAUAGGGCGCAUGUUCAAGGUGAUGGGCCGGUUCCUGCAGGGCCAGAGAAAGGGCGCCUCAGCUUCCAGAGCCGCUCCGCUGAUAGCCAGGGAAUUCUACAGAGGCGAGGGCUCUGCUUUGCCGCAGGGUAAGGCAUUUAAAUGUUCUAAAGCCCAAAAGUGACUUCUAGAUGUGGUGGUGUGGACUUGGGGAGGCAGCUAGGACUUUAGCACCAGGCAAGCAGGGCCGAGGUCUUAAGUGGGACCCCAGACCAGCAGCAUCUGCACAGCGUGGCCUGGGAACUUGUUAGAAAUGGGAAUGCAGACCUGGGGCGGGGGGCGGGGGUGUGUGUGCCAGGGGUCAGGACCCCCCCAGGACAGAAGUCCGCACGUGGGGUUCAGCGGGUGGUGUGGAUAAUAGAGAGUGAGAAGCUGUGUUUAGUUCACCAUGACUGGCUUCCUGGGAGCAGUUGUGAGUUUGAGGAAGAAAAGGAGCCUAUGAUAAAAAUAAAUGGAAGACAUACAUCCUUCCGGAACCCAAACAAUGCAACCAGAGUAACUUCCGGAACACAGCUGGGAGGCAGAGGCAGCAGGGAGGCCGGCCAGGUCCUGGCUGGGGGGACAGCCCCCUCUGGGGACUGUCAUCAUCGAUGCAUUGGUUCAUUCACAAAGAUUGGGGCGUGGAUGACGGGUCUCGCGGGAGGUGCUCAGCCGACAUCAGGAUGCGAAUGGGUGUUUGCGCUGAGAAGCAAGGGAACAGAGUGAGAGGAGAGGGCGCUGGACAGACAGACGCUGGGCUCAGAGCUGGAACCCAUCCGUAAAGCCCCAGCAGCCUCCGAGCCCAGGCCUCUGGAAGCACCUGGACGGGACCCGUCCGUCUCGGGCAUUCGCCCCGAAGUCAUCCAUGUGUCACAAGGCAGUGCACUUAUCUGGGUAAGAGUUCUGUCACAGUGAAGAGCUGAGUCACACCCGUCUCCUCACUAACAAGUUGCGGAAACACGAAGCAGAGACGUUACAGUAAAAAUGGUGGAAGCUGGAGGCCCCCGAUGGCUCAGCGGGGUCAGGAUCUGGUGUCCUCACAGCUGUGGCUCGGGUUUGAUCCGUGGCCCAGGAACUUCCGGACUCUGAGGGUGCGGCCAAAAAAGAAAAAAAAAAAAAAA
rnacentral:lncRNA from 1 species